ACGGCUCAGUAACACGUGGACAACCUACCCUGAGGUCGGGGAUAAACCCGGGAAACUGGGUAUAAUACCCGAUAGAUCUAGAUCGCUGGAAUGCUUUUAGGUCUAAAGUUCCGACGCCUCAGGAUGGGUCUGCGGCCUAUCAGGGUAGUAGUGGGUGUAAAGUACCUACUAGCCCACGACGGGUACGGGUUGUGAGAGCAAGAGCCCGGAGAUGGAUUCUGAGACACGAAUCCAGGCCCUACGGGGUGCAGCAGGCGCGAAACCUUUACAAUGCUGGCAACAGCGAUAAGGGGACCUCGAGUGCUACGAUACAAUCGUGGCUGUCUAGUUGCCUAAAAAGCAAUUGAUAGCAAGGGCCGGGCAAGACCGGUGCCAGCCGCCGCGGUAGCACCGGCGGCUCGAGUGGUAACCGCUAUUAUUGGGUCUAAAGGGUCUGUAGCCGGCUUAGUUAGUCUCUUGAGAAAUCUGGCCGCUCAACGGUCAGGCGUUCAGGGGAUACUGCUAAAGCUCGAGACCGGGAGAGGUGAGAGGUACUUCAGGGGUAGGGGUGAAAUCUUGUAAUCCUUGAAGGACCACCAGUGGCGAAGGCGUCUCACCAGAACGGAUCUGACGGCAAGGGACGAAAGCUAGGGGCACGAACCGGAUUAGAUACCCGGGUAGUCCUAGCCGUAAACGAUACUCGCUAGGUGUCGGCCACGGUGCGACCGUGGUCGGUGCCGUAGGGAAGCCGUGAAGCGAGCCACCUGGGAAGUACGGCCGCAAGGCUGAAACUUAAAGGAAUUGGCGGGGGAGCAC
rnacentral:rRNA from 1 species